rnacentral:rRNA from 1 species
AUUGAACGCUGGCGGAAUGCUUUACACAUGCAAGUCGAACGGCAGCACGGACUUCGGUCUGGUGGCGAAUGGCGAACGGGUGAGUAAUGUAUCGGAACGUGCCCAGUCGUGGGGGAUAACGUAGUGAAGAUUACGCUAAUACCGCAUACGAUCUAUGGAUGAAAGCGGGGGAUCGCAAGACCUCGCGCGAUUGGAGCGGCCGAUAUCAGAUUAGGUAGUUGGUGGGGUAAAGGCCCACCAAGCCAACGAUCUGUAGCUGGUCUGAGAGGACGACCAGCCACACUGGAACUGAGACACGGUCCAGACUCCUACGGGAGGCAGCAGUGGGGAAUUUUGGACAAUGGGCGAAAGCCUGAUCCAGCCAUUCCGCAUGCAGGAUGAAGGCCCUCGGGUUGUAAACUGCUUUUGUACAGAACGAAAAGGUUUCUACUAAUACUAGGAGCUCAUGAUGGUACUGUAAGAAUAAGCACCGGCUAACUACGUGCCAGCAGCCGCGGUAA